rnacentral:tRNA from 1 species
GUCCCCGUAGCUCAAUGGAUAGAGUGUCUGGCUUCGGACCAGAAGGUUGUAGGUUCGAGUCCUGCCGGGGACA